ensembl:snoRNA
UGUUUGUUACCAUGGCUUUUAGAAUGAAGUUCCUCAUUUGCUGUGGACAUGACCAUCGAAAAAUUUCUCACUUGGUUUUCUGUUACCUUGCUAGCAAUCAACCUGUUGGGAACAUAC